rnacentral:rRNA from 1 species
AGAGCGAACGCUGGCGGCAGGCCUAACACAUGCAAGUCGAACGCACCUUCGGGUGAGUGGCGGACGGGUGAGUAACACGUGGGAACGUACCUUUUGGUUCGGAAUAACGCAGGGAAACUUGCGCUAAUACCGAAUGUGCUCCGUAAGGAGGAAAGAUUUAUCGCCAUUAGAGCGGCCCGCGUUAGAUUAGCUAGUUGGUGAGGUAAAGGCUCACCAAGGCUACGAUCUAUAGCUGGUCUGAGAGGAUGAUCAGCCACAUUGGGACUGAGACACGGCCCAAACUCCUACGGGAGGCAGCAGUGGGGAAUCUUGCGCAAUGGGCGAAAGCCUGACGCAGCCAUGCCGCGUGAAUGAUGAAGGUCUUAGGAUUGUAAAAUUCUUUCAGUAGGGACGAUAAUGACGGUACCUACAGAAGAAGCCCCGGCUAACUUCGUGCCAGCAGCCGC